CUCAUCAAAGACACCUUUACAAACAGCCAGAGCUUCUAAUGGAGAAGAAGUAGGAAUGGAGGCCACUUAAGCCUGUUUCAGAACUAAUGGUGAAGCUAAUCACUAUUCCACAGCUUCUCCAGGAGACCGAGACUAGUGUUUGCAGAGAUCUAUGGGUACCACGGGGGAAGUCCCCUAAAAGCUCUCUAGGACAAACAAGAAUUCAAAACAGCCGCAUCACAAUUGCUUUAUCCUUGAAUUUAUGGAGAUACCUCUUCAGAAGCAGUGAGGACUGCAAGCUGCUCUAGUCAAGGAAAUUUAGAUUCUGUCUUUGGGUUUACUAACCAUUUCAAACUGACUUAAUCAAACACAUAGCAGCAGGAGAUAGGUAACAUCACAACUACAUUUUUUUUUUUUUUCUCAACUUCUAUGAAACUCUGUUCAGUGAGAUACCUGGGUAUGGUAUCAGACUGCUAGCCCUGGGGUAUUUGCAGAAAACUCAGUUUUUACCCCAUUGUGGUAGUCUUCCAAAGCCGUAGUGCAGACUUUUUGGUUGUACAGUUACCUAUAUAACCUUGGAUACAUUAAUAGUAAAAGCAGCCUUGGAAGGAAAAUAGCAGUAUGUGCAUCAGUGAGAAGAUCAUCUACUCCUUCAAAACACUGAUAUCUCUAAAUCUCUAUUUCUGAAAUAGCUAUACUGAAACAGAUAGAAAAAAAUACUUGGCUUCCGUUUGUACUCCAGGUCUUUUGUGCUUAGUGAUUCUGAUGGAAGACUUUCAGCAAGAACCAAGAAUACUUUAAUGUCCUUACAAAACUCAA